rnacentral:rRNA from 1 species
GAUGAACGCUGGCGGCGUGCCUAAUACAUGCAAGUCGAGCGAACAGACGAGGAGCUUGCUCCUCUGACGUUAGCGGCGGACGGGUGAGUAACAUGUGGAUAACCUAGCUAUAAGACUGGGAUAACUUCGGGAAACCGUAGCUUAUUCCGGCUAAUAUCUUGAACCGCAUGGUUCAAUAUUGAAAGACGUUUUUCCUGUCACUUAUAGAUGGAUCCGCGCCGCAUUAGCUAGUUGGUAAGGUAACGGCUUACCAAGGCAACGAUGCGUAGCCGACCUGAGAGGGUGAUCGGCCACACUGGAACUGAGACACGGUCCAGACUCCUACGGGAGGCAGCAGUAGGGAAUCUUCCGCAAUGGGCGAAAGCCUGACGGAGCAACGCCGCGUGAGUGAUGAAGGUCUUCGGAUCGUAAAACUCUUUUAUUAGGGAAGAACAAAUGUGUAAGUAACUAUGCACGGCUUGACGGUACCUAAUCAGAAAGCCACGGCUAACUACGUG